rnacentral:rRNA from 1 species
GAAGGUUGGGUAACACUAACUGGAGGACCGAACCGACUAAUGUUGAAAAAUUAGCGGAUGACCUGUGGCUGGGGGUGAAAGGCCAAUCAAACCGGGAGAUAGCUGGUUCUCCCCGAAAGCUAUUUAGGUAGCGCCUCGUGAAUUCAUCUCCGGGGGUAGAGCACUGUUUCGGCUAGGGGGCCAUCCCGGCUUACCAACCCGAUGCAAACUGCGAAUACCGGAGAAUGUUAUCACGGGAGACACACGGCGGGUGCUAACGUCCGUCGUGAAGAGGGAAACAACCCAGACCGCCAGCUAAGGUCCCAAAGUCAUGGUUAAGUGGGAAACGAUGUGGGAAGGCCCAGACAGCCAGGAUGUUGGCUUAGAAGCAGCCAUCAUUUAAAGAAAGCGUAAUAGCUCACUGGUCGAGUCGGCCUGCGCGGAAGAUGUAACGGGGCUAAACCAUGCACCGAAGCUGCGGCAGCGACACUGUGUGUUGUUGGGUAGGGGAGCGUUCUGUAAGCCUGCGAAGGUGGCCUGUGAGGGUUGCUGGAGGUAUCAGAAGUGCGAAUGCUGACAUAAGUAACGAUAAAGCGGGUGAAAAGCCCGCUCGCCGGAAGACCAAGGGUUCCUGUCCAACGUUAAUCGGGGCAGGGUGAGUCGACCCCUAAGGCGAGGCCGAAAGGCGUAGUCGAUGGGAAACGGGUUAAUAUUCCCGUACUUGGUGUUACUGCGAAGGGGGGACGGAGAAGGCUAUGUUGGCCGGGCGACGGUUGUCCCGGUUUAAGCGUGUAGGUGUGUGUUCCAGGUAAAUCCGGUUCACUUUAACACUGAGGCGUGACGACGAGGCACUACGGUGCUGAAGCAACAAAUGCCCUGCUUCCAGGAAAAGCCUCUAAGCAUCAGGUAACAUCAAAUCGUACCCCAAACCGACACAGGUGGUCAGGUAGAGAAUACCAAGGCGCUUGAGAGAACUCGGGUGAAGGAACUAGGCAAAAUGGUGCCGUAACUUCGGGAGAAGGCACGCUGACACGUAGGUGAAGUGAUUUACUCAUGGAGCUGAAGUCAGUCGAAGAUACCAGCUGGCUGCAACUGUUUAUUAAAAACACAGCACUGUGCAAACACGAAAGUGGACGUAUACGGUGUGACGCCUGCCCGGUGCCGGAAGGUUAAUUGAUGGGGUCAGCGCAAGCGAAGCUCCUGAUCGAAGCCCCGGUAAACGGCGGCCGUAACUAUAACGGUCCUAAGGUAGCGAAAUUCCUUGUCGGGUAAGUUCCGACCUGCACGAAUGGCGUAAUGAUGGCCAGGCUGUCUCCACCCGAGACUCAGUGAAAUUGAACUCGCUGUGAAGAUGCAGUGUACCCGCGGCAAGACGGAAAGACCCCGUGAACCUUUACUAUAGCUUGACACUGAACAUUGAGCCUUGAUGUGUAGGAUAGGUGGGAGGCUUUGAAGUGUGGACGCCAGUCUGCAUGGAGCCGACCUUGAAAUACCACCCUUUAAUGUUUGAUGUUCUAACGUGGACCCGUUACCCGGGUUGCGGACAGUGUCUGGUGGGUAGUUUGACUGGGGCGGUCUCCUCCUAAAGAGUAACGGAGGAGCACGAAGGUUGGCUAAUCCUGGUCGGACAUCAGGAGGUUAGUGCAAUGGCAUAAGCCAGCUUGACUGCGAGCGUGACGGCGCGAGCAGGUGCGAAAGCAGGUCAUAGUGAUCCGGUGGUUCUGAAUGGAAGGGCCAUCGCUCAACGGAUAAAAGGUACUCCGGGGAUAACAGGCUGAUACCGCCCAAGAGUUCAUAUCGACGGCGGUGUUUGGCACCUCGAUGUCGGCUCAUCACAUCCUGGGGCUGAAGUAGGUCCCAAGGGUAUGGCUGUUCGCCAUUUAAAGUGGUACGCGAGCUGGGUUUAGAACGUCGUGAGACAGUUCGGUCCCUAUCUGCCGUGGGCGCUGGAGAACUGAGGGGGGCUGCUCCUAGUACGAGAGGACCGGAGUGGACGCAUCACUGGUGUUCGGGUUGUCAUGCCAAUGGCACUGCCCGGUAGCUAAAUGCGGAAGAGAUAAGUGCUGAAAGCAUCUAAGCACGAAACUUGCCCCGA